GCCCGGCUAGCUCAGUCGGUAGAGCAUGAGACUCUUAAUCUCGGGGUUGUGGGUUUGAGCCCCACUUUGGGCG
rnacentral:tRNA from 1 species